UACGUGAUCUAGCAGGCUGGAGAGGCAAUUUAUCCUAGACAAAAGGAGAAAAGAGCCAAAGAAAAAGACAAGAGAGAUGGACACUUGUGAGACCCCUGGACAGAUCUGUGAAGGACUUUAAGCAAAACAUGUUAUUUGUUCCGAGUUGGUUGCCCAGUGGUGGGCAAGUGGUUGUGCCGAUGCUGCAGUAGAAGAACCGUCGCUCUGCAGAGUGAGGACCGGGAUCACUGAAGCCUCCCUUGGCUGAAACUCAUGCCAGUUUGACAUGAAGAUUCUCAGUAAUGAAGCUGCAGAGCAGCAUUGCCAGACAUCACAGAGGAAAAUGUGAAGAUCCAUUCAUCAGAAAAUCCCCAACUUCCAGAAUAUCACAUUUAAAAACUACGUAUCUGAAAUACCUGCGUUCAGUGAAGAAGCAAGAUUCGCCUCUGAAUGGUAAGAGGAGCCAGUGAAAGCAAAUGCUGAGCUAUCUUGCUGUUCCUAUCAGGACGAUGCUCACAAAAGUACAAAUCAGCAUCUCUGUUGGUGUGGGGUCAUGGCUUGUCA